rnacentral:lncRNA from 1 species
GUGACAGUUUGGUUGCAUCCAAGGUUACUCUGAUUCUGCAUUAUUUUCUCUCCUCUCUCCUGAAUUUCAUUUUAUGAAGACAUUGUGUCAAUUGGCUGGUUUUUAGCACUUGCCAAUGAUUAUUAUUUUUUUAAGUGAUGUUUGUCGAUAGUCCAUAAAGGGAACAACUGGUCAUCUGGUCCUUGCACCUGUUCAAGUGGCACAAAGAAAUGCUGUUGUUUUUGCCUAACUGGGAGAAUACCUAACUGAAAGAUAGACAACCUGGGUUUCCAAUGCUCCUCUAUUAGAUCCUAUCAGUUACUUCAUAAAGGUAUUGUCCAGUUCCCUUUAA